rnacentral:rRNA from 1 species
UACGUAGGGGGCGAGCGUUGUCCGGAAUUACUGGGCGUAAAGGGCGCGCAGGCGGCCGUGUAAGUCCGCUGUGAAAGACCGGGGCUCAACCCCGGGGUGUCAGCGGGGACUGCACGGCUGGAGUCCCGGAGGGGGAGGCGGAAUACCUGGUGUAGCGGUGGAAUGCGUAGAUAUCUGGAGGAACACCGGUGGCGAAGGCGGCAUUCUGGACUGCAACUGACACUGAUGAACGAAAGCCAGGGGAGCAAACGGG